AUUGAACGCUGGCGGCAGGCCUAACACAUGCAAGUCGAGCGGUUGAAGGGAGCUUGCUCCCUGAUUCAGCGGCGGACGGGUGAGUAAUGCCUAGGAAUCUGCCUAUUAGUGGGGGACUACAUUCCGAAAGGAAUGCUAAUACCGCAUACGUCCUACGGGAGAAAGCAGGGGAUCUUCGGACCUUGCGCUAAUAGAUGAGCCUAAGUCGGAUUAGCUAGUUGGUGGGGUAAAGGCCUACCAAGGCGACGAUCUGUAGCGGGUCUGAGAGGAUGAUCCGCCACACUGGGACGGAAACACGGCCCAGACUCCUACGGGAGGCAGCAGUGGGGAAUAUUGGACAAUGGGGGGAACCCUGAUCCAGCCAUGCCGCGUGUGUGAAGAAGGCCUUAUGGUUGUAAAGCACUUUAAGCGAGGAGGAGGCUACUGAGACUAAUACUCUUGGAUAGUGGACGUUACUCGCAGAAUAAGCACCGGCUAACUCUGUGCCAGCCGCCGCCGUAA
rnacentral:rRNA from 1 species